rfam:Myotis lucifugus cont2.14117, whole genome shotgun sequence.
GGCGGUUCUUGGGUGACACACCCUGGAAUCGGGCUCCCUCCUCUCUGGUUCCGGGUGUGUCACGCAAGAACCGCA